UUGAUUGCGAAUCGUUGUCUUCAGUGCUGGCCAGCUCUUGGCAAGUGCACGUUGGCGGCCUUUCAUCCACACCCUGUGCACCUUUGGCCUCUUGCUAGCUUCGGUCGGCAGAGGAUUUUACACACCAACUCGAAUGUAAUGAAAACUACUGUCGUGCGCAAGCACUAAUGUA
rnacentral:misc_RNA from 1 species